AAUGGGGGAUAACGUAGCGAAAGUUACGCUAAUACCGCAUAUGCCCUGAGGGGGAAAGUGGGGGAUCGCAAGACCUCACGUUUUCGGAGCGGCCGAUAUCGGAUUAGCUAGUAGGUUGGGUAAAGGCUGACCUAGGCGACGAUCCGUAGCUGGUCUGAGAGGACGGCCAGCCACACUGGGACUGAGACACGGCCCAGACUCCUACGGGAGGCAGCAGUGGGGAAUUUUGGACAAUGGGGGCAACCCUGAUCCAGCCAUGCCGCGUGAGUGAAGAAGGUCUUCGGGUUGUAAAGCUCUUUCGGACAGAAAGAAAUCGCCAUUCCUAAUACGAGUGGUGGAUGACGGUACUGUAAGAAGAAGCACCGGCUAACUACGUGCCAGCAGCCGCGGUAAUACGUAGGGUGCGAGCGUUAAUCGGAAUUACUGGGCGUAAAGCGUGCGCAGGCGGUUUUGUAAGACAGGCGUGAAAUCCCCGGGCUUAACCUGGGAACUGCGUUUGUGACUGCAAAGCUAGAGUGUAGCAGAGGGGGGUAGAAUUCCA
rnacentral:rRNA from 1 species